rnacentral:rRNA from 1 species
UACGUAGGGGGCUAGCGUUGUCCGGAAUCAUUGGGCGUAAAGCGCGGGCAGGUGGCCUUUUAAGUCCUUUGUGAAAUUCCGGAGCUCAACUCCGGAUGUGCAUAGGAUACUGGAAGGCUAGAGACUGGUAGAGGCGAGUGGAAUUCCCGGUGUAGCGGUGAAAUGCGCAGAUAUCGGGAGGAACACCAGUAGCGAAGGCGGCUCGCUGGGCCAUUCCGUGACGCUGAGACGCGAAAGCUAGGGGAGCGAACAGG